rnacentral:rRNA from 1 species
UGGGGGAUAUUGCGCAAUGGGGGAAGCCCUGAUGCAGCGACGCCGCGUGAGUGAAGAAGUAUUUCGGUAUGUAAAGCUCUAUCAGCAGGGAAGAAAAUGACAGUACCUGACUAAGAAGCCCCGGCUAACUACGUGCCAGCAGCCGCGGUAAUACGUAGGGGGCAAGCGUUAUCCGGAUUUACUGGGUGUAAAGGGAGCGUAGACGGCGGUGCAAGCCAGAUGUGAAAGCCCGGGGCUCAACCCCGGGACUGCAUUUGGAACUGUAUGGCUGGAGUGUCGGAGAGGCAGGCGGAAUUCCUAGUGUAGCGGUGAAAUGCGUAGAUAUUGGGAGGAACACCAGUGGCGAAGGCGGCCUGCUGGACGAUGACUGACGUUGAGGCUCGAAAGCGUGGGGAGCAAACAGG